UAUUUUUUGGUUUAGGAGUCCGACUGGCGCUGGCAGAUCGGUGUGUGAUUGGAGCAGCGCAGAGAUUGCCUGGAGCACAAGCCCGACGCACAGACACAGGCCCCCGAACUAUAGUCGCAUUGUAGACUGUUUCAGCAUUGUAUUGGCGACUUUCCGAAAGGCUUGACAUCGUCGUGGAAUACGACUGCAUGUUUUAUUUUUAGGAUAUGUGAUGAUAUGCUUCUCAUUCGCCUCUUUUAGGCUACAAUAACAUUGGAGCCGUGCAGUUUUUGAAUUCAUUGUGUCCAAUCGAAGGGAAAAUGUGGAUGCGUGCGAGGGGGAUAUGGGAAAAAAACUAUUGAUUAAUAGUUCCGAACAGCAUCUCGCUAAGGAACAGUUUGUCCGGUCCUUGGGGACGCAUGGACUUGGAGAGAGAGAUACCUGCCACAAGAAACAACACGAUCUGUCCCUCGUAAUUGGAGCAUGCAUCGGAACCACGGACGUCUUUGUGUUGCCCGCUGCGUAUUCCGAGUUUGAGGGGGGCCUCUAGCCUGCUAAAGGGGUGACCACUCUCUCCGUGUUCCUUCAAUGCCAAACCGAAAUAUUCGUCAAACACCAUUUGGGACUGUUCACCUCAAAUAUGAGAAGAUGACUGGUGAGGCUUUCCUAAAACCACAGAUCGCUGACUACUCCAAGACUCCUCUGCUUUUUGAUUCUAUAUCCUACAACCACAGUUUGUUAACUAGAGGGCAUCUGGAGACUCUCCACACCCAGCAACAAUGGCUCCUGCAGCGUGGAGGUGUUUGUUCUCCAUUGUCUACUGCUCACCCUAAUUCAUUAUCAUUGUUCACAAG